GACGAAUGCUGGCGGCGUGCUUAACACAUGCAAGUCGAACGGAGAGGCCCUGCUUGCAGGGUACUCGAGUGGCGAACGGGUGAGUAACACGUGGGAGAGCGGCCCGGCACUGCGGGAUAAGCCUGGGAAACUGAGUCUAAUACCGGAUAGGAGCCAGGGUGAGUGCGGGGGUUGGAAAGUUUUUUCGGUGUAGGAUAGGCCCGCGGCCGAUCAGCUAGUUGGUGGGGUAAUGGCCUACCAAGGCGGCGACGGGUAGCCGGCCUGAGAGGGUGGACGGCCACAUUGGGACUGCGGUACGGCCCAGACUCCUACGGGAGGCAGCGGUGGGGAAUAUUGCCCAAUGGGCGCAAGCCUGAUGCAGCGGCGCCGCGUGGGGGAUGACGGCCUUCGGGUUGUAAACUCCUUUCGCUAGGGACGAAGCUUUUGUGACGGUACCUAGAUAAGAAGCACCGGCUAACUACGUG
rnacentral:rRNA from 1 species